rnacentral:rRNA from 1 species
GACGAACGCUGGCGGCGUGCUUAACACAUGCAAGUCGAACGAGAGCGUAGAGAAAGCUUGCUUUUUCUACAAUCUAGUGGCAAACGGGUGAGUAACGCGUACACAACCUGCCCUACGGAUGGGGACAACAGCCUGAAACGGCUGCUAAUACCGACUACGUUCCGAAAGUCGCCUUACUAUCGGAAGAAAGGAUGGCCUCUGUUUAUAAGCUAUCGCCGGAGGAGUGGUUUGCUGCUGAUUGGCUAGUUGGAGGGGUAACGGCCCACCAAGGCGACGAUCAGUAGCCGGUCUGAGAGGAUGGACGGCCACAUUGGAACUGGGACACGGUCCAGACGCCUACGGGAGGCAGCAGUGGGGAAUCUUCCGCAAUGGGCGAAAGCCUGACGGAGCAACGCCGAGUGAGUGAAGACGGCCUUCGGGUUGUAAAGCUCUGUUAUACGGGACGAAUAAUCUUGUGGUUAAUACCCAUGAGAAGUGACGGUACCGUAAGAGAAAGCCACGGCUAACUACGUG